rnacentral:rRNA from 1 species
AGCGAACGCUGGCGGCAGGCCUAACACAUGCAAGUCGAACGAACCUUUCGGGGUUAGUGGCGGACGGGUGAGUAACACGUGGGAACGUGCCUUUAGGUUCGGAAUAACUCAGGGAAACUUGUGCUAAUACCGAAUGUGCCCUUCGGGGGAAAGUUUAAUCGCCUUUAGAGCGGCCUGCGUCUGAUUAGCUAGUUGGUUGAGGUAAUGGCUAACCAAGGCGACGAUCAGUAGCUGGUCUGUGAGGAUGAUGAGCCACAUUGGGACUGAGACACGGCCCAAACGAAGGAGCGAGGCAGCAGAGGAGAAUCUCGCGAAAUGGAUGAAAUGCUGACGGAGACAUGCCUCGAGAAUGAUGAAGGUCUUAGGAUUGUAAAAUUCUUUCAUCGGGGCCGAUAUUGACGGUACCCGGAGAAGAAGCCCCGGCUAACUUCGUG